UCCGGUAUGGUGUAGUGGCUAACAUUUCGCGCUCUCAUUGAAUGAGAGAGAAUCAUCUCGAUCCGCGGAGCCCAGGGUUCGAUUCCCUGUACCGGAG
rfam:Fusarium langsethiae strain Fl201059 Fl201059_contig89, whole genome shotgun sequence.